CGAAAGUAAGACUAAUACCCAAUGACGUCUCUAGAAGACAUCUGAAGGAGAUUAAAGAUUUAUCCGGUGAUGGAUGGGGAUGCGUCUGAUUAGCUUGUUGGCGGGGUAACGGCCCACCAAGGCGACGAUCAGUAGGGGGUUCUGAGAGGAAGGUCCCCCACAUUGGAACUGAGACACGGUCCAAACUCCUACGGGAGGCAGCAGUGAGGAAUAUUGGUCAAUGGACGAGAGUCUGAACCAGCCAAGUAGCGUGCAGGAUGACGGCCCUAUGGGUUGUAAACUGCUUUAUAAGGGAAUAAAGUGAGUCUCGUGAGACUUUUGCAUGUACCUUAUGAAUAAGGACCGGCUAAUUCCGUG
rnacentral:rRNA from 1 species